rnacentral:rRNA from 1 species
UAUGGCUCAGGAUGAACGCUAGCGGCAGGCUUAACACAUGCAAGGUCGAGGGGCAGCGGGAUGUAGCAAUACAUUGCCGGCGACCGGCGGAUGGGUGCGUAACGCGUAUGCAACCUACCUUAUACAGGGGAAUAACCUUUCGAAAGGGAGACUAACACCCCAUGGUAUUGAUUUAAGGCAUCUUAGAUUAAUUAAAUAUUUAUAGGUAUAAGAUGGGCAUGCGUAUGAUUAGCUAGUUGGUAAGGUAACGGCUUACCAAGGCGACGAUCAUUAGGGGUUCUGAGAGGAAGGUCCCCCACACUGGUACUGAGACACGGACCAGACUCCUACGGGAGGCAGCAGUGAGGAAUAUUGGUCAAUGGGCGCAAGCCUGAACCAGCCAUGCCGCGUGCAGGAAAGACGGCCUUAUGGGUUGUAAACUGCUUUUACAUAAGACUAACCGUAUAUUUGCGAAUAUACCUGAAUGUAUUAUGAGAAUAAGGAUCGGCUAACUCCGUGCCAGCAGCGGC